UUUUUUUUUUUCUCAGUUGCUCUGGAUUCUGUGCAGCCUAUUCAAAGGGAUUUAUUUCACUUUGUAGGACUAGUCAUUGCUGAGGGGAAUGAAGGUGAUUACAGGGUAGACAGCAAAGAAGAAAGAGUGAAUGGAAUGACAAGGAGGUGAACCCAAAAUCUGUGGGGCCCAGGGCUGCACAGAGUGCUCCAUGUGCUCAAACUUCUCUAUUCUUCAGCACACAGCAAUGUGUCCUUUGGGUUUUCUGAGCUGUAUAUCAUGUCCUGGUGCUUGAAAUCACAGAACCAGCUGAAUGCCAUUGUAAACUUGAAAAGAGCUACAAGGAGACUUAAUUUGAAAACAUAAAGGUCACUGAAGGCCUGACAAAUGGGAUGCCUUUGGCAAAAAUAUACUCGCUGACUUGAGCACCACCUCUGAAAAUGGAAACAA